rnacentral:rRNA from 1 species
UACGAAGGGGGCUAGCGUUGUUCGGAAUCACUGGGCGUAAAGGGUGCGUAGGCGGCUUGUUAAGUAGGGUGUGAAAUCCCCCGGCUCAACCGGGGAAUUGCGCCCUAAACUGGCGAGCUGGAGUGAGAUAGGGGUGUGUGGAACUUCCAGUGGAGCGGUGAAAUGUGUUGAUAUUGGAAGGAACGCCAGUGGCGAAAGCGACACACUGGGUCUCAACUGACGCUGAGGCACGAAAGCCAGGGGAGCAAACGGG